UCGUUGUGGGCUCGCUCUGCCAUGCGCUAGGCUUGGUGGGAAGGCCUGUUCUCGAGUCCGCGCUUUUCGUCGCCGCCAUGUCAGGAGGUGGUGUUAUUCGUGGCCCAGCAGGGAACAACGAUUGCCGUAUCUACGUGGGCAACUUACCUCCAGACAUCCGAACCAAGGACAUUGAGGACGUGUUUUACAAAUAAGGUGCUAUCCGUGACAUCGACCUCAAGAAUAGCCGCGGAGGACCGCCCUUCGCCUUCGUGGAAUUCGAGGAUCCGAGAGACGCGGAAGACGCGGUGUACGGUCGCGGCUAUGAUUACGAUGGAUACUGCUUGCGGGUGGAGUUUCCUCGCGGCCGCGGAACCGACCGAAGCGGCGGUGGGGGUGCAGGUGGUGGAGCUCCCCGAGGCUGCUAUGGCCCCCUGUCCCCGCGUUCUGAAAACAGAGUGGUUGUCUCUGGACUGCCUCCAAGUGGAAAUUGGCAGGAUUUGAAGGAUCACAUGUGUGAAGCAGGUGAUGUAUGUUAUGCUGAUGUUUACCGAGAUGGCACUGGUGUCGUGGAGUUUGUACGGAAACAAGAUAUGACCUAUGCAGUUCGAAAACUGGAUAACACUAAGUUUAGAUCUCAUGAGGGAGAAACUGCCUACAUCCGGGUUAAAGUUGAUGGGCCCAGAAGUCCAAGUUAUGGAAGAUCUCGAUCUGAAGCCGUAUUCAUAGCAGAAGCCAUAGCAGAAGCAACAGCAGGAGUAGCAGUUAUUCCCCAAGGAGAAGCAGAGGAUCACCACGCUAUUCUCCCUGUCAUAGCAGAUCUCGCUCUCGUACAUAAGAUGAUUGGUGACACUUUUUGUAGAACCCAUGUUGUAUACAGUUUUCCUUUACUCAGUACAAUCUUUUCAUUUUUUAAUUCAAAUUGUUUUGUUCAGAAUGGGCUGAAGUGUUGAAUUGCAUUCUUGUGUAAUAUCCCCUUGCUCCUAACAUCCACACAUUAUCCUCAUGUCUGAUAAAUUGUAUUUUAAGUGAUGUCAGACAGGAUUGUUUAAAUUUAAUUAACUCUUCCAUGCUCUUCAGACUGUGAUACUGUGUAAAUGUCUUUUCUGCUCUGGUUUGUGUGAACUGGGAUGUUGUGGGGUGUUGGUGGUUAUCUUAUCUGGGGAAGUUCUUAUGUUUAUCUUGCUUUUCAUGUGUCUUUCUGUAGACACGUCUGAAGAGAUGGAUUAAGAAUGCUUUGGAUUAAGGAUUGUGGAGCACAUUUCAAUCAUUUUAAGAUUGUCAAAAGGAGGAUUGAGGAGGAUCAGAUCAAUAAUGGAGGCAAUGGUUUGGAUUGGAGAGGGCUCACUGGAUCCCAAUCCUUGGAGCUGGAUCAUUGGAUUCAAAUCAUAAUGUGGAUAGGAUAGGGAGGAUAAAUUACAAGGAUUCAUGGAGCGGGAUCAGAUUACCAGGAACAUAGGAGUGGAUUCCUUCCCCAACCAAACCGCAUUCAUGUGGAUUUUUUUUUAUCAACUUAAUUGACUAUUCCAAAGAUUUUUUUUCCUAUUUUUGACGAUUGGAGCCCUUAAGAUGCACGAUGGAAUUGUGUUUUGCAUUUUUUGGUAAAAGGAGCAAAGCGAGGACCUGGAGAUAAUACGCUGGAGCAAUCUCCUUGGAAGGAUUCAGCACGAGUAGAUGGUAAACAUUUAAAGGGGUAAGGGGGGGUUGUUUAAAGUAGUAAUCAGUAAGUCACUUCUAAAUUUAAAGAAAACUAUUGGAUUUGAAGAAUAAGUAGGUUUCCAAUUGGCUAUUGCCGUUUUCCUUUGAAAAAAAGAUAAACGUUUUUUAAAAA